rnacentral:rRNA from 1 species
CGCUGGCGGCGUGCCUAAUACAUGCAAGUCGAACGGUCUUUCUAUGGAAGCUUGCUUCCACUGAGAAGAUAGUGGCGAACGGGUGAGUAACACGUGGGUAACCUGCCCAUAAGAGGGGGAUAACAUCCGGAAACGGGUGCUAAUACCGCAUAGUUUUCUUGAUCGCAUGAUUGAGAAAGGAAAGACGGCCUUUGUGCUGUCGCUUACGGAUGGACCCGCGGCGUAUUAGUUAGUUGGUGAGGUAAUGGCUCACCAAGACGAUGAUACGUAGCCGACCUGAGAGGGUGAUCGGCCACAUUGGGACUGAGACACGGCCCAAACUCCUACGGGAGGCAGCAGUAGGGAAUCUUCCGCAAUGGACGAAAGUCUGACGGAGCAACGCCGCGUGAGUGAAGAAAGGUUUUCGGAUCGUAAAACUCUGUUGUCAGAGAAGAACAAGUUGGAGAGUAACUGCUCCAGCCUUGACGGUAUCUGACCAGAAAGCCACGGCUAACUACGUGCCAGCCGCAGC